UCAUUUCCUCGCCGGGAGACAUGUCCAAA
rnacentral:sRNA from 1 species